rnacentral:lncRNA from 1 species
ACCUUCUAUGUGAUCUCCCAGAGCCCAUGAGCUUCCAUAUGAUCUCUCAUACGGCCGUGAGCUUCCAUGUGACCUCUCAUAUGGUCAUGAGCUUCCAUGUGACCUCCUAUAUGGUCAUGAGUUUCAUGUGAGCUUGACUUUUAUUUUAGUUGUGAACUCUCGUGUGUCCUUGAGCUCUUAUGUGAGCUUGAGUUGUAUCUAGGC